rnacentral:lncRNA from 1 species
GUGAGUAACGCCUGGGUUCCUGCUUUUCCGGGCCCUUUCCCGCUGUCUAACUUGCUCUUAAUCGAAAAGGCCUAGGUGUCAAGUAGUCAGAUAGAGGUAAAGAAGGUGGGAAGCCACAGCUCCUCGGAGCAGGUAGAAUCCUCUGGUUAUCUGUGUAGCCUGGAUGAUGGCUCCGUUUUGAGGAAGCCAGGGUAAAGAGGUGGUUGCUAAGAGCUACCGUCUUCAGUUCUUUCCCAAAUGGACCCUGGCACACUCUGUGCGCCUGUCUGGCAAAGCUGCUCAGACACACAACAGAGCACAAUUGUGAUUUGGGGUUUUUAAAUUUACUGAUAAUGUUUUUUAUUUUCCCCUCCUCCAUCUUUACAAACAUUUCCCUUCAAAAGGUGGGGAGGGAAAACUCACAAAGGAUGAUUGUAGCUUAAUUAUCUAUACACUGGUCAGGUGCUCUCUUGGGAAAACACUCACAGGGGAUGGUUGUAGCUUAAUUAUCUAUACACUAGUCAGGUGUGCUCUGUGCUCUGCCUUUUUAUUAGACAGACUUGGAAAGAUGGGCUUCAGAACUUCCCAGAUCUUAAAAACCUAAAAUUCCCUCUGUCUUUCUCAUCUCUCUUUUUUUUAAUGACUACUGCAGACGCUCACCAUCAGUAGUUUUUAUUAUUUUAUCAAAGCAGGUCCCUAAAAUGCCCUGGGCUUGGUAGAAGCACAUCAGGCCUUUUGGAGGCUUUGCUGUCACUGACAUUUUUCUCUCCAUGUGUUGGUCAGUGUGCCCUGGAAUGAGGCAGCAUGUGUUAGGAGGGAAGACAUUAUUUGUGACUUGGGAGAAGCUGAGAGCAAAAACAGCAUUGCUUUGCCUGGCUGCCCGUAACAUGGGUUUUGUCCCUAGCCACAGUCUCCAUGGAGACUGUAGCCCAGAAGCUGAUGAGAGUUUGAGAGUUCUCCCUGCUCUCACCAACCACUCUGACUUGGCUGUGCAGCAUACCUGUGCUGGAUGAAGGGUGUUUUAGGACACUCCCAUUGUUCUGUGACAAAGAAUAAAGGGAACGUGUAAGGCCAACAACCCCAAGAAAAAAAAAAACUGACCAAGCCCUUAGGUUAAAGUCAACAAUUAAGGGGCACAUGAUAAGCUCACCUCUUGUCAAUUAUCAGCUGUUGGAAGUCCCUUGAAGUAUCAUCAAGGUACAACAGUGAGCCAUUAGAUAGGCUGGGGUACUAGCCCAGCCUCACCAGGUUGACAAAAGGCAGCUGAUUUGGAAGUGGAGCACGCAUAUCUACCUACCUCACCCAAACUGAGGAAGAUGCCAUCAAACUCUUCUGGAAGCCAGACUCAAGGAAGUUUCCCAAAGUUGAGCAUCCUUUAUCAAAAAUGCCUCCAACUUCAGAUUUUGAAAUAUUUGCUUAUCCAUAUGAGAUAGUCUGAGAAUGGGACCUGAGUCUAAAUUUCAAAUCCGUUUAUGUUUCAUAUAUCCCUUACACGCAAAGCUAGAAUGUCAUUUUAAACUGUACUUGCAGUGAUUUUAUUUGUGAAUGUAAGCUUUAUGGCAUGGCCUUUUCUUUGUGUGGUAUUACGUCAUACUUACGAGCUUUGGGUUUUAGAGCAUUUGAGGUUUUCAGAUGAGGGAUGACCAACUGGUAUAAACCUGGACUUCAUACCAGGACUCCCCUCUAACUGAUUUCUCUUCAAAAUACCACUGAAGGACUGCCUUCUGAAGGAAAACGUUCCAUAUUCCCUUCACAUCUCUCUCUAACCAUGUGGCUUCUUCAGUCGAUGAUCCAACUUCAGGGGAUGUUGAGUGAUCACUUUAUUGACCAUGGCCCUGCUUUCUUCAGUACGGAACACAUUAUGAUUGAGUUUUCCGUGGUCCAGUCAUUUUGUGAUCCAGUAAAUCAUUCCCUGAACUAUUGGUGCGUCCUCCUGGAUUGACAGGAUGCUCUAAGCACAUGCUCAGUGGUAGGCAUAUUUACCCCAAAGCAGCAGUAUUUCUUGGGAUUUGGAUAUUCAACUUUUAAGAGUUCUCACCAGGAAAAGAAAUUGGAAUAUCCAGUAUGGCUAUAUCCAGUUGCUAUAAGCACUGACAUUGCUCAAGUGGUGGAGAUGAGACAAACAUUUGGAAAUCUUUCAGUUUUGCUCUUUGUACUUGGUGUCGCAUCAAAGCAAUCAGGAACAUGAGGGAGAAUCAACGACUCUUUGGGGACUGGAGGUUCUGUGAUAGAGUGAUAGUAGCAGCCCAAUGGCUGUUAAGAGCUACAUAGAUUUUUUUUAUUUCUCUACUAAGUGAGAAUAAUGAAAAUCCACCCGCCCCCAGUAUAAUUAUUCUGUCUAUCACAGAUACUCUUCUUUCCAUGGUACCUACUGAUGAACCUGUAUCAAUCUUGCCUUUGAAUUAGUAUUUUGCUUAAUCUCAAAACUGUUUCUCUCAUUGCCCUAAGUUAUUUUGUAUUUCCUCUUUUAAGAACAUU